CUGUACGUGUGGUCCACUGCUGACAGAAACAUCAUGAUGUGGCACAUGACUGUAUAUAAUUAUGUCACCUCUCAGGACUGGAGAGGAGUUAAGAUGUAUCAAAAUGACAGCUCUGAAACUGCUUGUCACUCACAGUAAGACGGAUGAAAGGACAGAACUCAAGUAGAAAAUGCCUGAUUGAAGAGCCAGAAGAAAACAGAUCAAAUCUGAGUGGUCCACCAGAACAACAAAAAGGGGAAAGAUCUACAUGAAUCAGUCAGAUAAUAAAACUUCCAGGACAAACAAACUAUUUGUAGCUGAGAAAAUACCACUGCAUAGAAUUCAAAUUUGUGUUUACUGGUAAGUCACUAAAAUAUAUUUUUAUGCCUUUCUUUGUCAACUUCUGGGUAUGUAAAUAGUUAUGAGU